CGAGUGGCGAACGGGUGAGUAACGCGUGAGGAACCUGCCUCAAAGAGGGGGACAACAGUUGGAAACGACUGCUAAUACCGCAUAAGCCCACGGGUCGGCAUGGUGCAGGGGUAAAAACUCCGGUGGUACAGGAUGGACCCGCGUCUGAUUAGCUGGUUGGUGAGGUAACGGCUCACCAAGGCGACGAUCAGUAGCCGACCUGAGAGGGUGACCGGCCACAUUGGGACUGAGACACGGCCCAAACUCCUACGGGAGGCAGCAUG
rnacentral:rRNA from 1 species